CAAUCGCAUCCACACCAGGCGAACCCUAGCCUCCUUUCCCCCGAUCCCCCAGCCGCCGCACGACCUCGCUCCUCCCCCCCUCUCGCUGCACCCUCUCCUCGCUCGUAGCCGCCUCCUUUACACCUCCGCCCGAGCUCCACCUUCCUCGCCGACCUCCCUCCUCAUGCCUCCUCCCUUCCGCGCCUCUCCCUCCUCCUGCCUCCACUCUCCCCUUUCCUGUCGGUCCCCAUAGCCUCUCCCACUUCUUCCAUCCUCCUCCCCGUGUCACCACUCACCAUGGCCUCCGCCCUGAAGCCUCGCCGACGCAUGCUAUUCCUCCUCCCUCGUCUCUGUUCGGUGCUGAUGACCGGCUCACCCCACAGCUUCUUCCCCACCCACGACCUAGAGUUGGGGAGGCCGGGUUCUCAUUGGGGGUGGAGGAGAUGGGGACGGCCAAGAGGCCAGCGGUGGGGAGAAGCCAGGCCAGCCUGCCGUGUCUCCCCGGAUCUGGUCAGCGGCCGAGUUGGCUGGCUGGGAUGAGGAGAUUGUCCUCCUUGUGGCUCUCGUCAUCGAGGACAGCCUGGUCCGCAAAUCGCGGCCCUCCUGCGUUGGGCUACACGACGUGGCUUACUGAAGAGCGCUGACCAACAGCAGGUGCUAAUCUUGGGUUUACCACUUGUGGCUUUGAGUUGACAGGGUGCUAGCAGCUGCAGUUCUGUUCAUUUGGAGGACACAUAUGACAAACUGUGAUAUCACAAUAUUUUUUCCUUCAGAUGCUUUAUCUUUGUUUUUUCUGUGUGUAUGCAUGCCAUGGUUUGCACAUCCUUUGCUCAUUGGCAUGUCUAUACACGGGCUUGUUGUUCUUCUAGAGAACUGAGUUGGUGAUGUUUAUUAUUGUUAGCUGUUUAGAGUGAUUGUUCCCAAUUAAUUUUGAUCAAUUAAUUAUUAGCAGGUAUUUAUCGAACGACCUUAUGCGAAUUCCCGGCCAAUUUAUUCCUUUUUAGCCAAGGCCAUCUUUAUAUCACAUAUCUCUGCUGCUGGGGAAAGUGAUUCAACUGAAAGUGGCAUGUGAUUCUCCCCUGGAGCCCAACAACCCUCUAUAUGGAUUAUCUGAAAGUUGAUGAGUAUGCUUAUGCAUCAGAUUUUCUCCUCUUAGUUAUGCAAUUUAGGCCUGUAUUUAUUUUUCAAUAUCACUAUGAGUAUCAUGAUAGAGAGUUAAUAGUUCACUCACUGCACAAAAUAUUUAGUUGGCAUAUUGAGGGGCUCACACCCUUUUAUGGACGAACUUAUACCAUCAACUGUUAAACAGAUAGCAUGACCAUAUGAUUAUAGAGAGAAAAAACCAUAGCUUGUGUUGUUGGGCAGGUUAUUAGUGACUUUUAAACAUAGUCAUGCAAUAGAACUUUAGGAUUCAUAAUUAUUCUACAUACGAUUGUUGAAACCAGUACUUUUGUAAGACCGAUGGUGAUGUAUGCUCCUUGCUGGUUUAGGUUGGUUGGUUGGAACAUUGUUGAUUGUAUGGUGGCUACAAAAGUGAAUCUUCACGCUGGCUGCAAUAGAAGCUGAUAUAGGUUACAGGAGAAAAUACUGAAUAUUUGAGAAAUUUACAUCGGAAGUUUAUAUCUCACAAUAUUAACCAAAUAAAGAAGUUAUACAUAAGAAAAUUAGUCAUGGAUAUUUUAAUUGUAUACUUGUUUUGCUAUGAUUCUAAAUAGCGUCUGGAUUGGCCGAUAUUGCGGUCUUGGCUGUCUGCUUAUAUCAAGUAUGGUCUGAUAUUUUGGUCAUAUCAGCCCCAGUAUUGAGCAUACCGACUAAUAUUCUGGUCAUAUCAGCCCCAAUAUUGAGCAUACCAGCUGACAUUCUGGUUAUAUCACACUUUCUAAAGUCUACACCAAAUCUGCGAGCACUAUAUCUGAUAUUUGAAUCUUGAAAUUACCAUUAGAAAGGCAAAGAUAUCUUGUAGAAAAAUAGGGUACAUGCUCAGGUAUAUCAUAUAUGGAGAAAAGGCACCUAUCAGCUGUAUUGGUUCUUUCAUAUUUUUGUGCAGUCCUUCUAUUAAUUUUUUCAAACUUUCUGGGUUUAUAUUUGAGCAAGAUAAAUAUAUUCCAUCUCUAUCCCAGUACAGAAUUGAAGCUUCAUCAAAUCUAUCUGGGCGUUCAUUGCGUAAUACAGUGUUGAGAUUGAGAACAUUUUCAGAGGGGAACUUAAGGUAUCACCUAAUGACAUAAUAUUAGUCACUAUCCGUUGAUUGGUAAAUUUUGCUUUAGUAUACACCCCUUCGGGAUAUGGCUUUCAAUUCUAUACUUUUCCUUGAUUAUCAGUAUUGCUACAAGGAUAAUAAUCAUUUUUAUUGCAAAGUACGUACUACAUUAGACAAAUCAGCAUGUUUUCCCAUAGAAAUACAUGUGGCACGAAAGCAGCGACAGUCAUGUUUGAAAGCGUGUAAUAUAAGAGUAUGUAUCUUAGUUAUUUUGGCAUCGCCAUCCUUUACAUUAUAGGUUGUUUUGCAUAACUAACAAUGAGGUCUACAUAUGUAGAUUUGCAAGUUAAAUUCACCACACCUUUGAAACCCGUAGUUGUUUACUAUUCUCUUAAAUCUUUAAACUUUGUGCUUCAUUGCUUUAAUUUUAGAACUAGGAGGGUGCAGAUAAGUAAGAGUUCUUGGCAGCAGCAACCUACACAUGUGGAAACAGUGGCUAUGGCGGUUCAAAGGGAAGUUGUGGCUGCUAGACAGCAAGUCACAGCUUAGUGGCGGCUCAAAGGACAUAUAAUCUAUUUCUUCUUGGAGAUAUCUACUAUCAUAUUAUGACUCGGUGCUAGCUGAAGCUUCUAUUUUCUCGCCUUUUGUGGUGGCGAUUAUUCCAUGGACUGCUGUAAUUCCAUUUGCUAUUCCUCAUGUUGCAACCUUUUCCCGUAGAAUCGAAAAGAAUUAGAUGGAAGAAAUUGCAGGAGAGCAGGAAUGGUAUUCUCGGCUGACAUUCAAAAGCAGUCAAGAUGGUGAAGUUUAGAACGGAGGAGCUCUGCGGAAUUAUGGAUAAAAAAUAUCCAUAACAUGUCUAUCAUUGCUCAUGUCGACCAUGGUAUGUGACGGAGCAGUGACAAUUGUCUCUAAUUGUCAAGUUUAUAUGGUAGAAUCUUCUUGAUUGAUGAUUUUGUAGCCUUCUCUUAGUUGUACUAUAUUGAUUCUUAAAACUGGAUCAUUUAAAAUUAGUUAGAUUUAAUGAGUUGUUUCACUGUUUUCAAAUAAGUAGUUUAAGCCCUUAUUGUGUCCCAGAGCUUAUUCUUUCUGCCUUUUUAUGAUUGAUAUAUGCUCUAACAAGCUUAAAUUUAACUAUUGGCAUAUAAUCUCAUGGCUCAAAAUCUUAGUUGUUGAAUGUAUUAAAAUUUAUAAGAUCUGGAGUUUGCACUAUAUUUCAUCCUGCGGUAUUCCCAGUAACUGAAUAUUAAGAGCACCGACGAUCCCAGGUUGUACAUUUGGGAAAUGCUUUUAUCUUGUAGGCCAGUUUUACAUUUACUUCUUUAAUAAGGAGAUGACCAUGAACACAGUAUCAUGGUAUUUGCCUUGGCAUUACUGACGUUGUGUUCAGAUUACUGAAAGAAGGAUUGGUAGCCGCGAAGGAGUGAAGGGUAGAAAAUAUGUCCAUUGUCGUUGAAUUGGUGGGAUUGUCCCCAAGUUAGUGCUGCAGAUGUUUCUAUUUUAGAGCAAGAAGCCAAAUCAUGUUGUUCAUUGUAAAUCUUGAAAAACUUGUUUAUUGUCACUUCUA